GGAGGUGUGGCUCAAGCAAUAAGAGCAUCUGCUUAGCAAGCACAGGGUCCUAAGUUCAAGUUCCAGUACCACCA
rnacentral:tRNA from 1 species